rnacentral:rRNA from 1 species
UAAUACAGAGGGUGCAAGCGUUGUUCGGAAUCACUGGGCGUAAAGCGCGUGUAGGCGGCUGGUUGUGUCGAAUGUGAAAGCCCUCGGCUUAACCGAGGAAGUGCGUUCGAAACUGACUAGCUUGAGUACCGGAGAGGAAGGUGGAAUUCCCGGUGUAGAGGUGAAAUUCGUAGAUAUCGGGAGGAACACCAGUGGCGAAAGCGACCUUCUGGACGGAUACUGACGCUGAGACGCGAAAGCGUGGGGAGCAAACAGGAUUAGAUACCCUGGUAGUCCACGCCGUAAACGGUGGGCACUAGGUGUGGCGGGUGUUGACCCCCGCCGUGCCGAAGCUAACGCAUUAAGUGCCCCGCCUGGGGAGUACGACCGCAAGGUUA